UAAUGUUUUAAGAGUGUAAUACUAGUACAUGACUUACUUGCACAUAUUCCUACUGUUUAUCCUUCACUCUUUGGGAAUUCGUUUCAUAUAUGACUGUGUAGAUUUGCUUCAUCCAGAGAUGGUGUUUCUGAAGGAUGGGGGCUAUGGUUGAUAAGCUCACUCUGAUGUUAUGGAAGAUGACCGGAUUACAGCCUCCUGUUUGUCUGUAAAUACACGUGUUCUACCACCAUGUACGUCGUGGUCAUCUUUCAGUUCUAUAACAACUAAAUAGCAUACAGUACAGUAAACACUACAGUAAUACAGUAUACAAGAUAAACAUGUUACAGAAUAGUAUAGCUCCCAGUUUCCUCCAUACAGUACAGUAAACACUACAGUAAUACAGUAUACAAGAUAAAACAUGUUACAGAGUAGUAUAGCUCCCAGUUUCCUCCAUACAGUACAGUAAACACUACAGUAAUACAGUAUACAAGAUAAACAUGUUACAGAGUAGUAUAGCUCCCAGUUUCCUCCAUACAGUACAGUAAACACUACAGUAAUACAGUAUACAAGAUAAACAUGUUACAGAGUAGUAUAGCUCCCAGUUUCCUCCAUACAGUACAGUAAACACUACAGUAAUACAGUAUACAAGAUAAACAUGUUACAGAGUAGUAUAGCUCCCAGUUUCCUCCAUACAGUACAGUAAACACUACAGUAAUACAGUAUACAAGAUAAACAUGUUACAGAGUAGUAUAGCUCCCAGUUUCCCCCAUACAGUACAGUAAACACUACAGUAAUACAGUAUACAAGAUAAACAUGUUACAGAGUAGUAUAGCUCCCAGUUUCCUCCAUACAGUACAGUAAACACUACAGUAAUACAGUAUACAAGAUAAACAUGUUACAAAGUAGUAUAGCUCCCAGUUUCCUCCAUAUAGUACAGUAAACACUACAGUAAUACAGUAUACAAGAUAAACAUGUUACAAAGUAGUAUAGCUCCCAGUUUCCUCCAUAUAGUACAGUAAACACUACAGUAAUACAGUAUACAAGAUAAACAUGUUACAGAGUUGUAUAGCUCCCAGUUUCCUCCAUACAGUAAUACAUGAAUCAUUUACGUUGUUUCCCCUUCCAGUAUGUAUUGGAAUCUACAGUUUUUACUGUGCUUUAUGUUGUACUACUGUCAAGUAGUAAAAGUACUAGAGAGGUCCAAUGUCUGCAGUACAAACCUCUUCUCAUUUUGGAACGUCCGGAUGAUGGAUGUUACGGUGAAGCGGCUCAGAUUGGGCUGCACUCUCUGCCCAGCCUCUCUCAAGGUCAAACCAUGGUUGACCACAUGGUCUGCCCAGCCUCUCUCAAGGUCAAACCAUGGUUGAUCACAUGGUCUGCCCAGCCUCUCUCAAGGUCAAACCAUGGUUGACCACAAGGUCCACCACAGUCACCGAGACUCCUCUCCUUGUUCUUGGUCUUCCUUAUUCUCCACCUCUAUCUCCACCUCUCCCUGCUAACUUUGCUUCCAUUGUUCUCCAAACACAGGAGUACUCACCUGUGGUCUUUUGAUUGCAAAGUUGAACAUUUAUGCAAUUAGUGUUUGAACAUGUGAAGAGUGAAAAUGAUCAAUUGGUAAUUGAUCUUAGCUUGUUGAACAGUGUUGCUUUUCAUUUGAACACAAGAGAUUUUAGUUGUGAAAGUUGUGCCAAAAUAUAGAGAAUUGUGUGUUGUGUUUUGCCAAAUGUUUGUUAUAGAAUUUUAAUCUGUGCCAGUAGUAUUGCAGAUUUGGUGUCUGGUUCUGUUAAAUGGGUUACAGAUUUGGGUCAUUGUGACUCAUGGGCCAGUUUUAGUGUGUUAACAAUUGGGAAAUACUGUAAGUAUUAUUUUGCAGACCCUGUGACAAUGUGAAAGAAAACUAUUCAAACUCAGGCUCAAUGGUUGUGAGUUGUUUCCCAUAGUGACAUUAAAGUAAAACUCCACACAAAAAACAUAUUUU
rnacentral:lncRNA from 1 species